CCUACGGAGGCUGCAGUGGGGAAUAUUGGACAAUGGGGGGAACCCUGAUCCAGCCAUGCCGCGUGUGUGAAGAAGGCCCUCGGGUUGUAAAGCACUUUCAGUGAGGAAGAACGCCUGGUGGUUAAUACCCAUCAGGAAAGACAUCACUCACAGAAGAAGCACCGGCUAACUCCGUGCCAGCAGCCGCGGUAAUACGGAGGGUGCGAGCGUUAAUCGGAAUUACUGGGCGUAAAGCGCGGGUAGGUGGCUUGAUAAGCCGGUUGUGAAAGCCCCGGGCUCAACCUGGGAACGGCAUCCGGAACUGUCAAGCUAGAGUGCAGGAGAGGAAGGUAGAAUUCCCGGUGUAGCGGUGAAAUGCGUAGAGAUCGGGAGGAAUACCAGUGGCGAAGGCGGCCUUCUGGACUGACACUGACACUGAGGUGCGAAAGCGUGGGUAGCAAACAGGAUUAGAUACCCUAGUAGUC
rnacentral:rRNA from 1 species